AUUUUUAGCUGUUUUAGUCUGUUUCCUAUUGCUGUAACAAAUUUCUGAGGCUGGGACUUUAGGUUGACUUAGCUUGUGAUCAUGAGAUUUAAGGCAUGGCACCAGCAUUGGCUUGGUUCUGCGAAGGAGUCUAUGGCAGACGACGUCAUAGAAGGAGCACAUGCUGAGUCUGAAGCCAGAGUGCAAGGAGGGGCCAAUAACAACCUCCCACUGUGCUCCACCUCUUAAAGAUCCUGCCACCUGUUAGUAUUGCCAUACUGAGGACCAAGUUGUCGACAUUUGAACACAUGGAGAUAUUCUCAAAGCAUAUCCGAAUCCCAGCAUCCCCAGAUAAUGGCUGUUCCCUCCCAUCUAAGGCCAAGAGGCAGCUCCCAUGGGGAUCUGUGAUCCUUAAUACUUUCCUACCACUGUCUCUGAGGGCGCACAUGUCUCUCGUGCUGUGCUCCAGGACUCGUGGUCAUCAGGAGGGGGUCAUCAAAGCCGUCAGAGAGGAGGUGCAGUGCAGAGAGAGCUGUUCCUGGUGGGAGCACUGGACACAAAACAUGCUUCGGUGCCCUGACAGUUCCACCAUUGAGGGCACCAAUGCGUUUCGGAGAAAGAACUUAUCUCUAGAGAAACAAAUCACUUAUUUGUACUACGGAAGGAUGUUCUUUUGUCUCUUUGCGAGAAAAUGACAAACUUGUCUAUGCUUGAGACAUGGUAA
rnacentral:lncRNA from 1 species